CCAGAACCCGAAUGAGAGAGAAGUUGGCUUAGUUCACUAGUGAGAAGUAUAAAAAUUAAUAAAGGGAGACCUCACUAAAAUAAAGUGGGGAGGCUGGAAGGAGGAGCUCUCAGGCCCAACCACUUCCUGUUAAUUGAAAAUCAAGCAGGAAGAAAUGAACCUUACUCAGGAUAUUACUUUAACUAUUACUUUACUACUCCCAGCAGGGGGAAGAAAGGCUUUCCUUCUCCCCUGGCAAUAGCCCAGCCAAUGAGAGGCAGUCACAGCCCAGCCAAUGAGAGGCAGUCACAGCUCAGCCAAUGAGAAGCCACCAUACUUCCAACUCCCAGUUUACGCCAAUGGAGUUUUUGUUUAUAAGCGCUUCACAACUUCCCCCUUCCGUCUGCAAAACGGGUUGUUUUCUCUUUGUUCCUGGCAGUCACUUGACUGUGGUUUUGCUGCAGCUGGCCUGCUCUGGAUUACAAUUCUGUUAUUCUCUAGACUGCUGCUUGGAAGCACCGGGUAUUUUUCCACUGGAGAAGUGCUUAGUGGCUGUGGUGAUAAAAACUCCUCCUUGAAGAUGACUCAGCUGCUCUGGUCUUCUGCCAAAGUCUUGUUCAAGAGGGAGUUGAAGGAGGCUCCAGACGGGGAGGAUGGAACACCUACAGCCGGCAAGAAACGUACAGUGUAUGCAGUAAGCCAGAGGAGAAGACCCUCUUAGGCAUUCAGAAGAAGGAGAGAGAAAGAGAGACUCCCAGAUUCAGGAUAAGCUUCCAGUGGCCCCGGACAUUCCUCGGCUGUGGUAGCUGAACUCGUCUCUGCCUCUGUCUCCACGAGGUUGCCUGCUUUGUAUGUUUCUCUGUAUCCUUCUUGGGUUCAAAAUCUACUCUGACCAUUCCUUCCAUGUGUGACCUUGAACAUGGCACUACAUGUAAUCAUCUAGUAGGAGUGCCCAGAUGAUUAAAUGAGAUUAUAUACAUAUUUUACACUUUGGCAUAUGAUUGGCCCACAGCCAGUGUUCCAUAAAUACCUCCUUGGAACUGCUCUCCUCUUUAGUAAGGCAUUUCCAAUGAUGGGGUGUUCUGUCCAUCCGGAAAACAAAUUUGUGUCCACCCCAAGCCGCUACAGAGGAGAGUGGAGGUAGUUAACUGGGAAAUUAAAACACCCAAAAAUGUGACCAAAGAAAACAUGGGCCUGAAAUAGGCAGACUGAGUCUCUGCAUUGAUUGUAUUAUCAGAUAAAUGUUCGGUUGCCACCUUAAUGACAUCCAAAAAGAGGCUGGAUUUAAGGUUUAUUCAAUACCUUCUUUAGUUUCCAAUGGGCAGUUUCAGGUGCAGCCAGGAUUGGCAACUACAUCUUGGCAAGAUGUAGUUAAUAUCGUCGAUUUCUUGGUGUAGGAAACCUAUUAUGCUUAAAAUAAACCAUCAUUUUCAUUCCUUGAAAUCUUGACAGUAGGAACAAAAAUCCCAUUGGCAGAGAUUUUUGCCCUUAAAUGCCCGUGGUUUAUACACCUUGAAGAAGGCAUGCCCCGAUUGCAUGGCCUGAGGCUUUUUGCCAUCUGUGCUGGAGCGGGGUGCAGGCUUGGCCUCUGCUUGCUUCUCCAGUCUCACCAUCCACCCAUCCACCCAUCCACCCAUCCAUCCAUCCAUCCAUCCACCCAUCCAUCCAUCCAUCCAUCCACCCAUCCAUCCAUCCACCCAUCCAUCCAUCCAUCCAUCCACUCAGUAGAUAUCCUGGCACAACAGGGAUCCUCUACCAUAACACUCUACUAUACACUGAGGACACCUCCAGUAACUCAUCAGGGUUAUCAGGUACAGAGUGUUCUAAGACUUUCGAGUUCUGCCACAGGAUCCAAGGAAUCUAACCAUGGCCUCUUUAGGAUAUUAUAGGAUGAGUUAUGAUCUCUCAUGAUACGGGGACCACCUGUCAGAAAUGGUCUGUGUCUUCUGGAAAAUUGCAUGGAGAGGAGGGAGAGUGGGGUGGGAUCGUGGAGAGUAGGCUGGUGGAGGUUGUCAUUCUGGCACUUGUCACUUCUUUUCCCUGCUCUUUGAGGUUUGGUCUGUGUCCCUGUCCGUGUUGUAUGCCCUAAGAUCCUGCCAUCGGACCAAAUGCCUUCACCUAUAUUACUCCAUGAAUCUGGAGACCAAGGUUAGAGCAAGGACCUGGUACUUGUCCACUCCCUUUAUUUGAUUAAAGCCCCCAUAAUGAAAGCAGCACCUAUGUCUGUCUUGUUUAUCAUUAUGGCUGCCUCCUGAGAUACAGUUUUAGGAAAUGUUUGUGAAAGAAAUAGAAGGGAGAAAGGAAGAGAAGAAAGAAGAAAACGAUGAAGGAAGAGGGGAAGGAAGGAAGGCAGGAAGGAAGGAAGGAAGGGAAGAUAGAUCGAAGAAAGGAAAGAAGAGAGAAAGGAAGAGGAAAAGGAAGGAAAAAGGGGAUAAUAUAGCAAAUACUUGUGCUGAGCUUUAUUCCCUAUCCAACUGUGAUUUCUUACUUUGUGCCCUGUUGAUAUGAUACUAUCUUUAUCAUAUAGCUGGCACUUUCUCGUGGUUGGAAAUCCCUCCUAGCCACUGCCUGCCAUGGUCUAACCCUGUUAGGGCCUCUCUAUUCAGACUUACAGAGCGAGACUCCUUCUCUCACUUUUCCCAGUUCAAACUCCCAAGAGAUAGAUAAUCACAGGGGCUCAAUUUAUUUUUUCUAUUGCUGAAUUCUGCUAUCUCACAGGUUAUUAGUUGUUAUGGCUUGACUAACUGUAUGCCAGAUGCUCACUCUUAGGCCAAUCAGCUGUGAUUAAAUGUACUAGGCAAUUUUCAGGAAAUUUACUUUAUAAAUAUUUUCCAGAGAAAAAUGCAAAUCUUCCAAGAUGAGCCCAUUUAAUGGCAUACCACUUUUUUUUUUUAAGCAGUAGCUCAUUACCAUACUGGCCAAUAUAUUAAACAAAGACAUACUUCUGAGACCAAAAUCAUCUUAUUAAAAUGACAGGGAAAGCCAAUAAAACGCAUCAUCCAUAUAGCUUAGGAGACUAGGCCUGACUCAUUCCAAGAAAACUGUCCCAAGGGGAGUGCCUAUAAAAUCCUUCUGUGUUCCUUCCCUUUCCACUCCACAUUAUAUCCAUGUCAGUGAAUUAUUUUCACACAAUUAAAGCACCCAUAUAGGAAAUAUUUACAAAUGUAAAUGUGCUCACUCCCAUCUGAAGACACCCCUUAUUUGCUUCGUUAUUUCACAGAGUGCAAUUCACAUCACUUCCCUUGCUCCAGCCUUUGACACUGUGGAGAGAAGCAGGCACGAAAUAAAUUGUCACUUCCAAAGACAUCACUGUCCUUUGCUUGAAUAAUAAAAAAGCCUAAUGUGUUGGGACAAAAGAGAAAGAGAAUUUUUUCGAAUUUUUAGAUGUUGAGAUAUGUGAUUAAGUGGAGAAUCUGUGGCAAUUGAGGGAUCAGCAAAGCCGAAACAGCAAUGUUUAUGGUCCUCUUAUAAUGAUACCAGAGUCUGUACUCAGCAUACCGCUUUCAACUCUCCAAGCCUCCCAUAAGCUUACAAAUGAUCUUUCGUUUAUUUUAAAUCAAUCAAGUAUCCCUAGAGGAAUUUUCCAGAAACCCAAAUAUAAUUACAUAAACACACAGGCUUCCUAACUAUGCAUGUGUUAUUCCAACAGAAAAAUAGAAGUGCAAUACAGAAGGAGUGAAGGUUUAUAAAAUGCAUUUUAAUGUCUUAUGAAUAAGAGCUGGAUACAGAUACCUUAGCCAAAAAUACAAAAAUACAAAAGGAAUAAGUACAGACGAUAUGAUUAGACCCUUACUGUGGUUGGAAUUAUCCCCAAAGUCUCCUCUCCUCAUUUAAAUGAAGUUUACUCUGUUUCAUAGUCUUCUUUGCAGUAACAUACUUAGUCAAAUCCUGGAAAAUUGCUAACUUCAUCAGCAGUAGGCAAUGCGAGGGCCUGAGGAUAUAGCUGGUCUUUUAUUUAUUCAUUAGAUCUAUAUAACAUCUAUUUUCCAAAGAGCUCCAGGCCCUGUAGAGAAUGUUUAACUGAUGUUAGACCAGAGUUUCAUGGAAAUGAGAACAGAGCUGUGUCUAAGGAGAAGCGGCAGCAGAGGAGGAAGAAGGAAGUGUAAGAGGAAAUGGAGAUACGUAUGGCGGGGAAAAGACACAAGAAGUCUUUAAAAUGCCAAAAUAAAAAUGCAGAGUCCCCAAUGCUGGCUCUCUCUAGUUAGUCCAGUUAGAGAUAUGAUGACAGAUGUUCCAUUUCUGUGAAGGAGAACCCUUGAAUCUCUUUCUUAGAAUUACACACACAGGGCAAGCUUCCAGCAGGGUCAUUUUCAGCAGAGGUGUUAAAUUCACAAGCUAUAUGCUGGUAAAAUUUAAUAUUCAAAUCCAGUAAUAUUUAUGUUAACACAUUUUAGUAUGUCUAAUGAAGUUCCCUCCCACUUCUCCUGGGUCUGAUGUGCCUUAAGUUUUUCAUAUCGCAUGCCAUUUGGAAAAUAUUGAAAAUCAGAAAGAAGAAUGGAUAGAACGUGGCAGCAUUGAUAUUUAUAAGACUGUAAUAGUAUGUAGUUAACUGGAAACUCUGCUGUGACAUGCCCUCCACUCUUCCAUGGCCACACAGAGGUGGGAGGCUCCUGGAGUGAGAGUUCUUGGCACAUAAUUGUUGUUGGACUCCUUCUAUGACACGUAAUCUCUACACAGCUCAUUGAAUAGUGGAUCCAGCCAGGUUCAUGCCAAUUUCAACACUAGCAGUAAACAGAAGUUCUGGGUGCUGGAGUACAGCAGAGGCCAGUGCAGUCAAGACCAGUGUCCCCAUGAAAUUCACUUUCUAGUUGGAGACACAUCCAAAACAGGAGACGCCUGGGGUUUUGAAUACAUGGACGUGUGACCACACACCUACGUGUGAUCCUUAGCAACCACCACAAAUCAAACAGGAGUGAUGCCGUGUUUGGACCAGUUCUGAUUUCAUAGGGAUCAUCAAUAAAAUCGGGUUCCAAGUCUUCCCAAACUGGAGCAGAUUAUAAUGAUACAUGGAGGGAGGUGCCCAGUGGUACCAGACAGCUCAAGAAGUUUCAGGGCUGAGUGGCAGUGAGGAUGAUGAGCAGUGGUCGUGUUCCGGGACGUAAGAUGAGCACCGCCUGGUGACUGAUCAGAACUGAAAAAAUUCGUUGUUGACAAGCACUGGCCACGCAAUGGGCAUGAAGACAAGGGAGAGGAGGUAUGAAGAACUAAGGACAACUCUGCAUUCAAUUUGCCACAUGCAUUAACUUAUGUAAGUCAGUGCCUGCAUGGAGGAGAAAGGGUGUCCACACUCCAGUCCCCUAUUACGCAUAUCUGGGUCAUCUGUUGCAAAUUUCCGGAAGAUUGACUGUUGACCGUAAGAGUUACUUACGUCCUUUCUAAGGAUUGAAAAAUUAAGUUUCCAGCUACUUGAAUGCAGCGUCCCUGUCUCACCUCCACCAUCAUCUCCGAGAACCCCACCCUGCAGAGAUCUCAUUUGGAAUAGUGUGAGUUGAGAGCGGUCUACCACUCAAAAGUUCGCUUUGAUAAUAAAGCUGUCACCUUAUUUGCCAGUUGAUGUCUUAAAGUUGCAAGUUCCAUUUCCACAGCCCAGCCAUAAACAAAUAUAUUGGUUUUAAAUGGAUUCUUCACACUCUGGCAGCUUGAUCACCACUUUCCAUACCCACAAUUGAUAGAAAAAGAUGAAAGAUAAGGGAACAAAGGGUGAAAAUGUAACAGCUAGAGAGAGCGCUCCAGGGUGGUUAAAAAGCUGCCUAGUGGCUACAGGAAGACACUCAGGCAGCAGCCCCGACACCAGGGUCAUGCCAGAGGGGACCCUCCAGGGCUGCCAAGCUCCUGAGGCUCUUACUCAUGCUUGAAGGUGAGCCUUUCGAAGAGCUACUUGCCCAACCCAGCCUGCAGAGGUGAGUCAGGUGGUCGCCAUCUCCUUGAUGAGUUUCACUUCCUCAUCCAGAAAGCACUUCUCCCGGAAGCUACAGAACCCGGGGCAUGCAGCUCCCAAGGCGCCUGUUUCAGGUUCUCUAAGAUCAUGGCAACUUUCUUGGCCUCAAGGUUUUACCCCACUCAUCUUGAAACAGCUUCUGCAAGUCCUCGAAGAGGGCACUGGUUUCUUCAAAAGAUGCCGGGUGCCCUUAAGGUUCUCCUCAGCCAACUCUUGGAAUGAGUGUCCCGUGCCCUCCAGAGCCACGUCCUCGAGGUGAAAAGAGAAGCCCAGAGAAAGAGGAAUUCCAGUAUUUUACAUCUGAAAGGAAGCUGAGACAUCACCAUCUCCAGCAUCAGUGCUUUUAUAAGAAGAAACGGAGACCAGACACAAAAAGAAUAAUACAAGUAACUGACUCAUAACAUCAUUGUGAAUAUCAAAUAAAUUGAUGGCUAAGUGAAGAAAAUUCUAAGUGGAAUAUGCCUGGGACUCCAUUACUUCUCACUUCUAUAUCAGUCAGACUCCUAGGUUGCAGUAGAAAUAAUCUUGCUGACUUGAGUAAAAUAAAAUUUAUGAGGGGACCAGCAAUACUGCAAAAACAGGCUUCGAAAACAAGUCCACAACAAGCAACCUCUGGAGGGCCAGCCAUCAGGAACCAGAACAGUUCUUCCAGCAGGAACAGGUCCAUUCAUGGAUCCCCAGGCCACUACUGCUGCUGAGGUGAUGAUUUCCUCCAAAUGCCACCACACCACACCCUACAGCCCUGACUCAAAUUCCAAGUGCUACAGGAGACUGCUCAAUUGCCUGCCCCUGAACUUUCCAGAAUGACAAGAAAGAGAAUUUGGACCCAUUUGCUUUCUGGUUCCCAGGAAUGCACACAGUGGCACAUUUCUAAGAGGAUAAAAAGUUUUGCUAGUCAUGGCACCUUGCCAUGGUUGGCUGCUGAACAAUAAAAAAAAAAGAGAUGAUAUCCAUUGUGUGAUCUAUCCCCCCAGUCAGCCAGCCAGCCACUCACCCACCCACUCAUCCACCUACCCAUUGAUCCAUCCAUCUCUCAAUCUAUUCAGUUAGCCAUCUAUCCACCCAUGCAAAGAUACAUACAUAUCUGACAAACACACAUCACCACAUUUCUCUCACGUUUUUUAUAUCCAAAUACCCGUAAAAAAUGAGUCUUUCAGAGGAAGCUUUUAUGGACCUAAUUCACCCCAAAGCUUAUGUCUCCCUGAGCAGUAGAUGAAAAAUAUUGCAGCCUGAAAAGAAUUGACUUGAAAGAAUUAGGGCCCCUGCCUAAAUGCCUAACAUAGUAUAAAAAGUGACUCCAGCCCCAGGGUGAAUGGAGUCUUAUGUUUCAUAAGGCAAGAUAUUUAUUAUAAUGACAGGGCAAAAUGGCCGUGGUCAAAUCUUAAAUCCAGGAUGCAUCUAAAGCAAGAAUGUCACUUUCCAAUUCAAAUCCAAAAUGUACAUUAAAGGCAAAGAGUGUGUAUGAAUUCUGUUUAAAAGUCUCUUUACAGAAAUGGAUUAGGGUUGUCAUUGAUACCAAGCUUCUAUUCUACCUGAGAUCUAUUCAUGCUUUGAGCAGAGUUUAAGGCUUUCUUCUGGAGCUAAUAACCUCAUUUAAUCUGUAAUUUCUAUGUGAGAAUUGGCGCACUCAAAAUAAAAGAACAAAUUACUAGAUUAUUUUUUUCAAUGAAAUUCUAAAUCAGCCUUUGGGAUUUCCAACUAUGAAAGCCCCCACAAAAUGCUCUGUAUUUUCAUGGAGUUAAUAGUCUUGGCAUUUUAAUGCAUGUUUUUGAGGAAUUAAAAUUCAGUCACCAAAACGUACUGUAAUGCAGUUAUAAUAGACACCUUCUUGUGUCUGCCUCCCACUCUUUAACAGUUGGGUGCAAGGCACCAUGCUAAGAUAUUUACACAGAUCAGUUCAUUUAAUCUUCCCAAUAGCCUGUGAUGUAGGCUUUAUUGUUUCCAUUUUAUAUAUGGGGAAAUUGAGACUUGCAAGAUCAAAGAGCUUUUCCAACUUCACAUAUAUAGAGAUGGUGAAAGUAGAAAUCAGAUUCCGGAGUCCAGUUCUAGAACCCAUGUUCAACCACUAGCCUUGCACAUCCAUUUACCUGUAUCUCAUUCAGGUUGGCUCAUGCUUGGUAUAUGUGACCCUGCCAUCUUGGUUACUAUUAUUAUGGUUAGAUACCUUAUCCAAGAAGGACUAACAGAGGUAGUUCUGGAAACACAGAAUUGAGAUUUUAGAUACCUCUGUUUAGUCUAUGUUAACUUCAAAACAAUGAAAGAAAUAUAAUCUGAGAAGUUUUGGAUGGACAUAUUCUCCAUAUGAUGUGGGACUGAGUAGCAGGAAAAGUUGGAUGGCAGAGGGAAGAAGAAUUAAAAGUGCGUGCCAAGAGAAGUUUUGCAUAUUUUUCAAACCAUUUUUGAAUUUGUUUAAAUAACGUUUGGUGAAACAGGGAUUUAAUGGCAACCUCAAUAGUAACAGCAAUGUUGGAGACAUACAUCCCCUCCCGCUUCUUUAUAAAUACAAUUAUUUCAGUACUUAAGAAUACCUGUAGAAUCUGAAAAAUAAGACAAUACUACUGGAAUAUGUACCUGUUACUUGCUUCACUACUGUGCUUGUAAUUGACCUUUUUUCGCACUUUAUUUCACUGGCGUUAGCAGUCCCAAAGGCAUCUUAUUUGCAGGUUUUUCUGAAUAAAGCACUGGUACUUAACAUUGUUUAUUCUUGGGGUCCCCUCUUAAAACUAAAGUGCCUUUUGCUUUAUUAUAGAACUUUGUAAAUA